GAUGAACGCUGGCGGCGUGCCUAAUACAUGCAAGUCGAGCGAACAGACGAGGAGCUUGCUCCUCUGACGUUAGCGGCGGACGGGUGAGUAACACGUGGAUAACCUACCUAUAAGACUGGGAUAACUUCGGGAAACCGGAGCUAAUACCGGAUAAUAUAUUGAACCGCAUGGUUCAAUAGUGAAAGACGGUUUUGCUGUCACUUAUAGAUGGAUCCGCGCCGCAUUAGCUAGUUGGUAAGGUAACGGCUUACCAAGGCAACGAUGCGUAGCCGACCUGAGAGGGUGAUCGGCCACACUGGAACUGAGACACGGUCCAGACUCCUACGGGAGGCAGCAGUAGGGAAUCUUCCGAAAUGGGCGAAAGCUUGACGGAGCAACGCCGCGUGAGUGAUGAAGGUCUUCGGCUCGUAAAACUCUGUUAUUAGGGAAGAACAAAUGUGUAAGUAACUAUGCACGUCUUGACGGUACCUAAUCAGAAAGCCACGGCUAACUACGUG
rnacentral:rRNA from 1 species